GACAGAGGUGCCGAGCGUUAGGCGGAAUCACUGGGCUUAAAGCGUGUGUAGGCGGAUCCGUAAGUACCUUGUGAAAUCCCACGGCUCAACCGUGGAACUGCUGGGUAUACUGCGGGUCUUGAGCCACCUAGGGGCGAGCGGAACAGACGGUGGAGCGGUGAAAUGCGUAGAUAUCGUCUGGAACGCCAAAGGUGAAAACAGCUCGCUGGGGUUGUGCUGACGCUGAGACACGAAAGCCAGGGGAGCGAACGGG
rnacentral:rRNA from 1 species